GGUGGCCGCGGGAUGACCUCAAGAUAGUGGCUCAGGACGAACGCUGGCGGCGUGCCUAAUACAUGUUAUUCGCCCGAAAUUAUUAAAAGCUUGCUUUUAAUAAGUUAGCGGCGGACGGGUGAGUAACACGUGGGUAACCUGCCUGUAAAGCUGGGAUAACUCCAGGAAACCGGUGCUAAUACCAGAUAGUUUCUUCUCUCGCAUGAGUGAAGAAGGAAAGAUGGCCUCGGCUAUCAUUUACGGAUGGACCCGCGGCGCGUUAGCUAGAUGGUGAAGUAAUGGCUCUCCAACGCAACGAUGCGUAGCCGACCUGAGAGGGAGAUCUGCCACAGUGAGACUGAUACACAGCGGAGACUCCUACGGGCAGCAGUAAUAGGAGAGUUUCUGCAUUGGACUAAAGUUUGACGGAGCAACGCCCUAUGAGAGAUGAAGGAUAUCGGAAUGAACAAAAAGGAUGGGGAGGGGAAAA
rnacentral:rRNA from 1 species